rnacentral:rRNA from 1 species
CUACGGGAGGCAGCAGUAGGGAAUCUUCCGCAAUGGGCGAAAGCCUGACGGAGCAACGCCGCGUGAGUGAUGAAGGUCUUCGGAUCGUAAAACUCUGUUAUUAGGGAAGAACAUAUGUGUAAGUAACUGUGCACAUCUUGACGGUACCUAAUCAGAAAGCCACGGCUAACUACGUGCCAGCAGCCGCGGUAAUACGUAGGUGGCAAGCGUUAUCCGGAAUUAUUGGGCGUAAAGCGCGCGUAGGCGGUUUUUUAAGUCUGAUGUGAAAGCCCACGGCUCAACCGGGGAGGGUCAUUGGAAACUGGAAAACUUGAGUGCGGAAGAGGAAGGUGGAAUUCCAUGUGUAGCGGUGAAAUGCGCAGAGAUAUGGAGGAACACCAGUGGCGAAGGCGACUUUCUGGUCUGUAACUGACGCUGAUGUGCGAAAGCGUGGGGAUCAAACAGGAUUAGAUACCCUGGUAGUCC